rnacentral:rRNA from 1 species
CGCCGACGACCGGCGCACGGGUGCGUAACGCGUAUACAAUCUACCCAUUACUAAGGAAUAGCCCAUGGAAACGUGGAUUAAUGCCUUAUAGAAUGCAGAGCUCGCAUGAGCUUCAGCAUUAAAGAUUACGGUAAUGGAUGAGUAUGCGUCCUAUUAGCUAUUAUGUAGGGUAACGGCCUACAUAGGCUAUGAUAGGUAGGGGUUCUGAGAGGGAAAUCCCCCACACUGGUACUGAGACACGGACCAGACUCCUACGGGAGGCAGCAGUGAGGAAUAUUGGACAAUGGGAGCAAUCUUGAUCCAGCCAUGCCGCGUGCAGGAAGACGGUCCUAUGGAUUGUAAACUGCUUUUAUACAGGAAGAAAAAGCCAGACGAGUCUGGUGUUGACGGUACUGUAUGAAUAAGGAUCGGCUAACUCCGUGCCAGCAGCCGCGGUAAUACGGAGGAUCCGAGCGUUAUCCGGAAUUAUUGGGUUUAAAGGGUCCGUAGGCGGGAUAGUAAGUCAGUGGUGAAAGUUUGUGGCUCAACCAUAAAAUUGCCAUUGAUACUGUUAUUCUUGAGUUAUUGUGAAGUGGUUAGAAUGUGUAGUGUAGCGGUGAAAUGCAUAGAUAUUACACAGAAUAC